rnacentral:rRNA from 1 species
UUACAACGGGUAACGGGGAAUUGAAGGUUUGAUUCCGGAGAGGCAGCCUGAGAAACGGCUACCCGGCCCUAAGGGGGGACAGCAGGCGCGAAAAUUACCCAAUGCUGACUCAGUGAGGUAGUGACGAUAAAUAACAAUCCGAGUAUUUUUAAUACUUGGAAUUGGAAUGAGAAAACAUUAAAUAACUUAACGAAAUCUAUUGGAGGGCAAGUCUGGUGCCAGCAGCCGCGGUAAUUCCAGCUCCAAUAGCGUAUAUUUAAAUUGCUGUGGUUAAAACGCCCGUAGUUAAACUUGUUGGGGCAAAAGGUGAUAAAGUCAGUUCAAAUGUCUAACAAAGAUAUACUUGUACUUUUAUUUAACCCCCCGAGCAGCAAAUUUUAAGUCUUUUGACUUUGGGUUUUGGUUUUAACGCCGUCAACAACUCGGUUGUUAACCACCCAACUAAAUAACCUCUUGUAGGUGUGUUAAGUUAAUAGACAUUUACCUUGAUUUAAUCAAAGCGUUCAAAGCAGGCAUUAAUUGCUCGAAUGUAUUAGCAUGGAAUAAUAUAAGAAGACUUGUGACAAUUUUGUUGGUUUUAAGACCACAAGUAAUGAUUGAUGGGGUAGGUUCGGGACAUUAGUAUUUACUCGCUAGAGGUGAAAUUCUUGGAUUGAGUAAGGACUAUCUACAGCGAAAGCAUCUGUCAGGGACCUAUUCAUCGAUCAAGGACGAAAGUUGGGGGAUCCAAGAUGAUUAGAUACCGUCGUAGUCCUAACCCUAAUCUUUGCCAACUCUGNGUA